rnacentral:lncRNA from 1 species
AGGGUUACUAAUCAAGAAAUAUUGCUUUAAUGGCUUAAGAGACCCAAGACAAAAGAAAUUGCAUCACUUUAGUGAAAUUCCAAAUUUUGGGUACUUUCAUAAUUAAGAAUGUUAAUUAAGAGCGGCUGACUGUAGUGAUCGAUGAUGUGAAGAAAGUUUCUUGGAAUUCCAUCUUUCAAAAAAGGCACUGACCGACGCUCAAGAAAAAUUAUAACUGAGAAAAGCAUGGAAAUGUGAAAGAUCAGUUGUAUACAGGGUGUUUGACACAAAUGCUUCAUAGGCCAUGUUACUGGAGCUUUUAUUUGUUUUCAACAGAUAUUAAGACGGCCGUUACUCUGGGCAGUAUGUCGUCAUCACAUUGUUAAGGUGAUGCUGACAGAUAUAUUCACUCUUUGAUCGAAGACUGUGGUAGAAGAAUGGAGAAAUGAAGCAUUUCAGUUUGUCAAAAAUAUCUACACAACAUCAGCGUGAUUACUAAAAGGAAUUCUCUGAACUGUGUGUGCUGUAGUUAGAUGCCCUCAGCAACAAGGAUUUUUGCCUCAAACAUGGUUCCUGUUUUCAAUCAAAAUUGUUCUUUUAAAGCACAAUAUCUUAUCUUUGUCAUCUGGAACCAUUUAUACAAAAUAUCAGAGAAUAUAUGUACCAGAGGCGUGGAUUCUCCUUGGAUUGAUUUGUGUCAGUGCAAAAAAUCCCAGCAAUAUAUGGUAAUCAAUUUAACAGUGUCUAAGAGUGUCAAAUCGUCUCUGUCUCGUCAUCUGUGAUAUUUAACCACAAAUAUGGUACCACUUGCCCUCAUCGGUGAUUUAACUCCAUCAAGUGAUCGAAACAAUAUAGCUAAGAGGUUCAUAGUUAUGAAAUAUGAACUCGGUGGCAGACAGAACAUACAUACAUUUCGCUUUGGAACAGUUUUUGGCAAACCACGUUUUCCAAUCGACAUUAUACAGUCUACGACACUUGCAGAUUUAGUUUUAUGCGACUCCUGGUUCAUUUUUACACUGCUGGGCUAAGAGACAAAUUUCCCAACCAAAAAAGUCACAGAAUGGAUAAAUUUGUCGUCUUAAAAGAGGUAGUUGUAAUUAAGAAACUAUUUUUUUUUCCUGAUCAAUCUGGUUUUGGAGAAUUUGCCAUUUUGAGUUUUUAAUAUUUUUUACUUUUUAUAGAUUUGUGUCAACUUUUGAGAAG